rnacentral:rRNA from 1 species
GAAUUUUUUUUUAUCAUGUUCAAUGCACUGGCUCUUGUCUGAUCACUGGAGUUAAGCAACAAUGAGCCUUGUAAGUAGUCAGAUGGGUGACCGCUUGGGAAACUUAGGUGAUAUAAGCA